rnacentral:rRNA from 1 species
CAGUCGCCGCGGGAAUACGAAGGGGGCUAGCGUUGUUCGGAAUCACUGGGCGUAAAGCGCACGUAGGCGGACUUUUAAGUCAGGGGUGAAAUCCCAAGGCUCAACCUUGGAACUGCCUUUGAUACUGGAAGUCUUGAGUUCGGGAGAGGUGAGUGGAACUGCGAGUGUAGAGGUGAAAUUCGUAGAUAUUCGCAAGAACACCAGUGGCGAAGGCGGCUCACUGGCCCGAUACUGACGCUGAGGUGCGAAAGCGUGGGGAGCAAACAGGAUUAGAUACCCGCGUAGUCCCUGUCUCUUAUAC